UGGGGAAUAUUGCACAAUGGGCGAAAGCCUGAUGCAGCGACGCCGCGUGAGGGAUGACGGCCUUCGGGUUGUAAACCUCUUUCAGUAGGGACGAAGCGCAAGUGACGGUACCUGCAGAAGAAGCACCGGCUAACUACGUGCCAGCAGCCGCGGUAAUACGUAGGGUGCGAGCGUUGUCCGGAAUUACUGGGCGUAAAGAGCUCGUAGGCGGUUUGUCACGUCGUCUGUGAAAUCCUAGGGCUUAACCCUGGACGUGCAGGCGAUACGGGCUGACUUGAGUACUACAGGGGAGACUGGUAUUUCUGGUGUAGCGGUGGAAUGCACAGAUAUCAGGAAGAACACCGAUGGCGAAGGCAGGUCUCUGGGUAGUAACUGACGCUGAGGAGCGAAAGCAUGGGUAGCGAACAGG
rnacentral:rRNA from 1 species